rnacentral:rRNA from 1 species
GAUGAACGCUGGCGGCGUGCCUAAUACAUGCAAGUCGAGCGAACGGACGAGAAGCUUGCUUCUCUGAUGUUAGCGGCGGACGGGUGAGUAACACGUGGAUAACCUACCUAUAAGACUGGGAUAACUUCGGGAAACCGUAGCUAAUACCGGAUAAUAUUUUGAACCGCAUGGUUCAAAAGUGAAAGACGGUCUUGCUGUCACUUAUAGAUGGAUCCGCGCUGCAUUAGCUAGUUGGUAAGGUAACGGCUUACCAAGGCAACGAUGCAUAGCCGACCUGAGAGGGUGAUCGGCCACACGUGAACUGAGACACGGUCCAGACUCCUACGGGAGGCAGCAGUAGGGAAUCUUCCGCAAUGGGCGAAAGCCUGACGGAGCAACGCCGCGUGAGUGAUGAAGGUCUUCGGAUCGUAAAACUCUGUUAUUAGGGAAGAACAUAUGUGUAAGUAACUGUGCACAUCUUGACGGUACCUAAUCAGAAAGCCACGGCUAACUACGUG